GAUGAAGAACGUAGCGAAAUGCGAUAAGUAGUGUGAAUUGCAGAAUUCAGUGAAUCAUCGAAUCUUUGAACACACAUUGCGCCCUUUGGUAUUCCAAAGGGCAUGCCUGUUCGAGCGUCAUUUGUACCCUCAAGCUUUGCUUGGUGUUGGGCGUCUUGUCUCUAGCUUUGCUGGAGACUCGCCUUAAAGUAAUUGGCAGCCGGCCUACUGGUUUCGGAGCGCAGCACAAGUCGCACUCUCUAUCAGCAAAGGUCUAGCAUCCAUUAAGCCUUUUUUUCAACUUUUGACCUCGGAUCAGGUAGGGAUACCCGCUGAACUUAAGCAUAUCAAUAAGCGAGGA
rnacentral:misc_RNA from 1 species